UCCAGACUCCUACGGGAGGCAGCAGUGGGGAAUAUUGGGCAAUGGGCGCAAGCCUGACCCAGCAACGCCGCGUGAAGGAAGAAGGCUUUCGGGUUGUAAACUUCUUUUGACAGGGAAGAGUAGAAGACGGUACCUGUCGAAUAAGCCACGGCUAACUACGUGCCAGCAGCCGCGGUAAUACGUAGGUGGCAAGCGUUGUCCGGAUUUACUGGGUGUAAAGGGCGUGUAGCCGGGUUGACAAGUCAGAUGUGAAAUCCUGGGGCUUAACCGCAGAACUGCAUUUGAAACUGUUGAUCUUGAGUACUGGAGAGGCAGACGGAAUUCCUAGCGUAGCGGUGAAAUGCGUAGAUAUUAGGAGGAACACCAGUGGCGAAGGCGGUCUGCUGGACAGCAACUGACGGUGAGGCGCGAAAGCGUGGGGAGCAAACAGGAUUAGAUACCCCAGUA
rnacentral:rRNA from 1 species